rnacentral:rRNA from 1 species
AUUGAACGCUGGCGGCAGGCCUAACACAUGCAAGUCGGACGAGCGGCGGACGGGUGAGUAAUGUCUGGGAAUCUGCCUGAUGGAGGGGGAUAACUACUGGAAACGGUAGCUAAUACCGCAUACCAUCGGAUGUGCCCAGAUGGGAUUAGCUUGUAGGUGGGGUAAAGGCUCACCUAGGCGACGAGCCCUAGCUGGUCUGAGAGGAUGAUCAGCCACACUGUGACUGAGACACGGCCCAGACUCCUACGGGAGGAAGCAGUGGGGAAUAUUGCACAAUGGGCGCAAGCCUGAGGCAGCCAUGCCGCGGGUAUGAAGAAGGCCUUCGGGUUGUAAAGUACUUUCAGCCGGGAGGCGUUACCCGCAGAAGAAGCACCGGCUAACUCCGGGCCAGCAGCCGCGGUAAUAC